rnacentral:rRNA from 2 species
CACCCGAAGUCGGUGAGGUAACCUUUUUGGAGCCAGCCGCCUAAGGUGGGAUAGAUGAUUGGGGUGAAGUCGUAACAAGGUAGCCGUAUCGGAAGGUGCGGCUGGAUCACCUCCUUU